UACGGAGGGUGCAAGCGUUAUCCGGAUUUACUGGGUUUAAAGGGUGCGUAGGUGGGUAAGAAAGUCAGCGGUGAAAUCUCCGGGCUCAACCUGGGAACUGCAUCUGAUACUGGAUGGCUUGAAUCCGGGAGAGGGAUGCAGAAUUCCAGGUGUAGCGGUGAAAUGCGUAGAUAUCUGGAGGAAUACCGGUGGCGAAGGCGGCAUCCUGGACCGGCAUUGACGCUGAGGAGCGAAAGCUAGGGGAGCAAACGGG
rnacentral:rRNA from 1 species